AAUCCAUAGGUUAAUGAGGCGAACCGGGGGAACUGAAACAUCUAAGUACCCCGAGGAAAAGAAAUCAACCGAGAUUCCCCCAGUAGCGGCGAGCGAACGGGGAGGAGCCCAGAGCCUGAAUCAGCAUGUGUGUUAGUGGAAGCGUCUGGAAAGGCGCGCGAUACAGGGUGACAGCCCCGUACACAAAAGCGCAUGUGUUGUGAGCUCGAUGAGUAGGGCGGGACACGUGGUAUCCUGUCUGAAUAUGGGGGGACCAUCCUCCAAGGCUAAAUACUCCUGACUGACCGAUAGUGAACCAGUACCGUGAGGGAAAGGCGAAAAGAACCCCGGCGAGGGGAGUGAAAAAGAACCUGAAACCGUGUACGUACAAGCAGUGGGAGCACAGGUUUACCUGUGUGACUGCGUACCUUUUGUAUAAUGGGUCAGCGACUUAUAUUCUGUAGCAAGGUUAACCGUAUAGGGGAGCCGGAGGGAAACCGAGUCUUAAUUGGGCGUUAAGUUGCAGGGUAUAGACCCGAAACCCGGUGAUCUAGCCAUGGGCAGGUUGAAGGUUGGGUAACACUAACUGGAGGACCGAACCGACUAAUGUUGAAAAAUUAGCGGAUGACCUGUGGCUGGGGGUGAAAGGCCAAUCAAACCGGGAGAUAGCUGGUUCUCCCCGAAAGCUAUUUAGGUAGCGCCUCGUGAACUCAUCUCCGGGGGUAGAGCACUGUUUCGGCUAGGGGGCCAUCCCGGCUUACCAACCCGAUGCAAACUGCGAAUACCGGAGAAUGUUAUCACGGGAGACACACGGCGGGUGCUAACGUCCGUCGUGAAGAGGGAAACAACCCAGACCGCCAGCUAAGGUCCCAAAGUCAUGGUUAAGUGGGAAACGAUGUGGGAAGGCCCAGACAGCCAGGAUGUUGGCUUAGAAGCAGCCAUCAUUUAAAGAAAGCGUAAUAGCUCACUGGUCGAGUCGGCCUGCGCGGAAGAUGUAACGGGGCUAAACCAUGCACCGAAGCUGCGGCAGCGAACGUAUCACCCAAGACAACUUUGCGGAGUUGACGAUUGACGGAGCGAAGCGACGUCAAAGCGUUCAUUAAAGUCGAGUUGGCUUAGGGAUACGUUCGUUGGGUAGGGGAGCGUUCUGUAAGCCAGUGAAGGUGUGUCGUGAGGCAUGCUGGAGGUAUCAGAAGUGCGAAUGCUGACAUAAGUAACGAUAAAGCGGGUGAAAAGCCCGCUCGCCGGAAGACCAAGGGUUCCUGUCCAACGUUAAUCGGGGCAGGGUGAGUCGACCCCUAAGGCGAGGCCGAAAGGCGUAGUCGAUGGGAAACGGGUUAAUAUUCCCGUACUUGGUGUUACUGCGAAGGGGGGACGGAGAAGGCUAUGUUGGCCGGGCGACGGUUGUCCCGGUUUAAGCGUGUAGGUGUGUGUUCCAGGUAAAUCCGGUUCACUUUAACACUGAGGCGUGACGACGAGGCACUACGGUGCUGAAGUAACAAAUGCCCUGCUUCCAGGAAAAGCCUCUAAGCAUCAGGUAACAUCAAAUCGUACCCCAAACCGACACAGGUGGUCAGGUAGA
rnacentral:rRNA from 1 species